CCCUUAGAUGUUCUGGGCCGCACGCGCGCUACACUGACUGCUCCAACAAGUUACCUGGGCUGACAAGCAUCCGGGAAAUCUUGCAAAGGCGGUCGUGAUGGGGAUAGAUUCUUGUAAUUUUUGAUCUUCAACGAGGAAUUCCUAGUAAACGCAAGUCAUCAGCUUGCAUUGAUUACGUCCCUGCCCUUUGUACACACCGCCCGUCGCAUCUACCGAUUGAAUGGAGAGGCAAAAUCUUCGGACCGUGACGCUUGGGAGUCAAAUCUCGGGCUGUCGUGGGAAGUGGAUUAAACCUUUCUAUUUAGAGGAAGGUAAAGUCGUAACA
rnacentral:rRNA from 1 species